GGCAAGGUGGCCGAGCGGUUAUGGCGGUAGACUCAAGUUGUAUAACUUUCCUAUGGAAAAUAGGAUUCUACUCUCGAAAGAGGCAUGGGUUCGAAUCCCAUUCUUGUCA